CGAGGAAUUUUGCGCAAUGGGCGAAAGCCUGACGCAGCAACGCCGCGUGGGGGAUGAAGGCCCUAGGGUCGUAAACCCCUUUUGCAGGGGAAGCUACUGACGGUACCCUGCGAAUAAGCCACGGCUAACUACGUGCCAGCAGCCGCGGUAAUACGUAGGUGGCAAGCGUUGUCCGGAUUUACUGGGCGUAAAGCGCGCGCAGGCGGCUCACCACGUCUGGGGUGAAAUCUCCCGGCUCAACCGGGAGGAGUCUCUGGAUACGGGCGAGCUUGAGGGAGGCAGAGGAGAGUGGAAUUCCCGGUGUAGCGGUGAUAUGCGUAGAUAUCGGGAGGAACACCAGUGGCGAAGGCGGCUCUCUGGGCCUUUCCUGACGCUGAGGCGCGAAAGCGUGGGGAGCGAACCGGAUUAGAUACCCCCGUAGUCC
rnacentral:rRNA from 1 species